GUAAUCCGAUGUAGUGUAGGGGUUAUCACUGUGCUCUUUCAAGUUCCAAUUUGGGAGAACAGCACUAACGGGGGUUCGAAUCCCCCCAUCGGAGU